UCGGGAAUUUUGGGCAAUGGGCGAAAGCCUGACCCAGCAACGCCGCGUGGAUGAAGAAGGCCCUAGGGUUGUAAAGUCCUUUCGUUGGUGAAGAUAAUGACGGUAACCAAAGAAGAAGCCCCGGCUAAUUUCGUGCCAGCAGCCGCGGUAAUACGAAAGGGGCUAGCGUUGUUCGGAAUUACUGGGCGUAAAGCGCACGUAGGCGGCCUUGUAAGAUGGGGGUGAAAUCCCUGGGCUCAACCCAGGAACUGCCUUCAUGACUGCAAAGCUCGAGGAUGUGAGAGGUUGGCGGAAUUCCGAGUGUAGAGGUGAAAUUCGUAGAUAUUCGGAAGAACACCAGUGGCGAAGGCGGCCAACUGGCACAUUUCUGACGCUGAGGUGCGAAAGCGUGGGGAGCAAACAGGAUUAGAUACCCUCGUAGUCCCUGAGCGGGCUGGCAAGGCGCAU
rnacentral:rRNA from 1 species